ACGCGAAGAACCUUACCCAGGCUUGAACAGCGAGUGACCAGCGAUGAAAGUCGCCUUCCGCAAGGACACUCGUAGAGGUGCUGCAUGGCUGUCGUCAGCUCGUGUCGUGAGAUGUUGGGUUAAGUCCCGCAACGAGCGCAACCCUUGUCCUCUGUUGCCAUCACGUAAUGGUGGGCACUCUGGGGAGACUGCCGGUGAUAAACCGGAGGAAGGUGGGGAUGACGUCAAGUCAGCAUGGCCUUUAUGUCUGGGGCUACACACGUGCUACAAUGGCCGGUACAAAGCGUCGCGAGCCCGCGAGGGGGAGCUAAUCGCAGAAAGCCGGUCUCAGUUCGGAUCGUAGGCUGCAACUCGCCUGCGUGAAGUCGGAAUCGCUAGUAAUCGCGGAUCAGCACGCCGCGGUGAAUACGUUCCCGGGCCUUGUA
rnacentral:rRNA from 1 species